UAGGGAAUCUUCGGCAAUGGACGAAAGUCUGACCGAGCAACGCCGCGUGAGUGAAGAAGGUUUUCGGAUCGUAAAACUCUGUUGUUAGAGAAGAACAAGGGUGAGAGUAACUGUUCACCCCUUGACGGUAUCUAGCCAGAAAGCCACGGCUAACUACGUGCCAG
rnacentral:rRNA from 1 species